AUUGAACGCUGGCGGCAUGCCUUACACAUGCAAGUCGAACGGCAGCGGGGGAGAAGCUUGCUUUUCCUGCCGGCGAGUGGCGAACGGGUGAGUAAUACAUCGGAACGUGCCCUGUAGUGGGGGAUAACUAGUCGAAAGAUUAGCUAAUACCGCAUACGACCUGAGGGUGAAAGUGGGGGACCGCAAGGCCUCAUGCUAUAGGAGCGGCCGAUGUCUGAUUAGCUAGUUGGUGGGGUAAAGGCCUACCAAGGCGACGAUCAGUAGCUGGUCUGGGAGGACGAUCAGCCACACUGGACUGAGACACGGCCCAGACUCCUACGGGAGGCAGCAGUGGGGAAUUUUGGACAAUGGGCGAAAGCCUGAUCCAGCAAUGCCGCGUGUGUGAAGAAGGCCUUCGGGUUGUAAAGCACUUUUGUCCGGAAAGAAAUGGCUCUGGUUAAUACCUGGGGUCGAUGACGGUACCGGAAGAAUAAGGACCGGCUAACUACGUGCCAGCAGCCGCCGCCG
rnacentral:rRNA from 1 species